GCACAACAGGCUGCCACGGUUUUGUGUGUGUGUGUGUGUGUGUGUGUGUGUGUGUGUGUGUGUGGUGCACAAUCAGAUGUCCAAUAUUCCAAAAGGUUAGAAGGGUGUCAAUAAUUCUGGAGCUGACUCUAUAACUUUCAACUAGUCAACACUAAACUGAGUUUCACACAUUAGUGCAUUGUGUGGGCAGCUGUAUUUUGUAUCUUUAAAAGGUUGGAUGUUAAGCUGUGAACGCUGAAAUCUCCACAGGUUCUGGCUCGCAUAAUUAUAUACAGAUAAUUAUCUGUGAAGCAUUUAAAACUGAAGAAACCUGAUCCAUUGGCCCUGGAAUGUUCAUCUGUCUUCACCGUCUCACACACUGGUGCUGACUAAACAUCGAAAUUCAGUUAUUUUAAAUUUGCACAUAAUUAAUGGGCUUACAGUGUUCCAGGGUUAAAUGCACUUUUAUUUUUACUAAAGGUGAUAUUUUUACACACUAUAAUUGAAUUAUACUUAAAAAUGCACCAUUACAGUGAACCAUGAUUUAGAGUACUGUAAUGAGAGUACAUGUAGUUUCUUUCCACCUGGUUACAAUCAAUCCCUAUUACAACUGACCCCGCUCUCCCCUAUUGUUAAUUAAAUGCAUUUACUGCAUAUGCGCUUGUAUAGUGUUAGCAUGCUAGCCUGCUCUGUCUGCUGUGUGUGUUCAGAAUAGAGACCACAGCAAGUGGCUAUGCAGAUAAGUAUUCAUUCAGCUACAAGAGCAUUAGUGAGGUCAGGCGCUGAUGUUGGGAUGUCGAGGAGGUCUGGGGUUCAGUCGGUGUUCCAGUUCAUCCCAAAGGUGUUCAGUGGGGUUGAGGUCAGGGCUCUGUGCAGGACACUCGAGUUCUUCCACUCCAACCUUCACACACCAUGUCUUCAUGGAGCUCGCUCUGUGCACAGGGGCAUUGUCAUGCUGGAACAGGUUUGAGUCUCUUAGUUCCAGUGAAGGGAAACUGUAAAGCUACAGCACACAGAGACGUUCUAUACAACUGUGUGCUUCUGACUUUGUGGAAACAGUUUGGAGAAGAACCACAUAUGGCUGUUUUGGCAUGUUUAUAUAUCAUAUAAAUAUAUAAAUGUGUAACUUUACAGAAAUUGACCUAAUACCACCCUUGGAUAGACAUAAUCAAUUUCCUUUAAAGGAAAAGAAAAAAUAUACAUCGCUACACUGUUUAAUGUAAUUAUAAUGUAUAAAGAGAACAGCAUGUGCGAAAGAAAAAGGAACAAGCAAUGUCCAUUUCUCUCAGUGCAGGGCAGCAGAAGGAACUGCAAAGAAAAAAUGGGAAAUAGUUGGCUUCUGACGUCAAAUGCAUAGCAGUGGAAGUAAUUUCCUUUUAUAGCCACGCUCACUCUGUGGUGCAUUUUUUUCCUCCAGUGGGACUCGUCGUAGCAGGCUGGGAUAGAGAGGGCCUCCCUGAUCAUGACGCAAACACUGUGAGAGAGGUAGCCUAGCAGAGUGGAAGAGGGAAAAAUCCCCCACUAAACCCUCAUACUUUUACUUUUAUUCUGAAAAGUAAAAGUUAUAAAUAUAUCCCGAGUGUAUAGGAGAGUAAAGAUUUUAUCUACGGCCUUGCUUUUGACUGGAAAAAGAACAGAAUUUUAAAAUGCAGUUACAUAAUGAUCUCGGGGAAAAUUCAUGAAUCAAGGCCUUUCAAUAAACAACAAAUUAUUCACAGAAUCUUCUCAAUCUGGGUGUUUGAGUACGCAUCUGCUAUGGACUGGGAUAUAGUGAAAAUCAUGUGACUAUCAAGCAACUAUCCCUAAAAUAGUUCAAAUUUUACAGGAAGCUUAAAUGGGAUUGUAACCUUUUGGAUGGAAACCGCUCCUCUUACCCACACUGAGAAUACUUCACAACACAUGCAAUGGAUUUGGCAGCGCUGGACUCUUAUUUAAGCCAUCUCCCCCUAUUUUUCUCAUACUUUUGACCGCAUCGUCCUCCACAUUCUCUGCGGUUGUGUUGUUCUUGGCAGUCGAGCACUUUGACAGGCCUUAACAGCACCUUGCGCAGGCAGAACAGAAAGCAGACGUGUUUCCAUGACGCUCUGCUCUUUGCGCAAUUCUCCUUUAUGCCAUUUAAGCAUGAGACCUACUUCCACUUUUUCAUGCUCCACUUCAGUGGAAAAAAGGAAAAGCAUUUAAAGGAGCAUAAUUUUAACUAUAACAGAAUAUACUGACCAACUGGACCAGUACGGUUUGUUUUAUACCUUUGUAUUUAAUCAAGCAUUUAACUUGCUGAGAAGCAAAAUAUUUCUUAUAGUGGACCAAAUAAAUGUUCUCAUAGUUUCCUAUUUCUUCCUCUUUCAGCACUGCUGUUCAUUACAGUAUUACAGCACACCAGUUAUAUAUCAAUCACUGUACUUGUUUGCUUUAUAGUGUAUGUAGAUAAAGGUUUAUGAACAGACAAGUGGGGUCAAAGUGCAACACAAGAGGCUCUAGACAGUUAAACAUUAAUAAAAAUUAUUGGGGAAGAGAAGACUGACCACUGAAGCUGAACUUAUCUCAGCGUGUAUUCGAGAAAAAAAACAAAAAACAGCUGUGUCAUGUGGUUUAGUCAUCAGGUAUCAUGUGAUAUGGAUGAAAUGGUCAAUGUUAUUACAAUACAUUUAAUCAUUGUAAAAACUAAUAAAGAAUCCUAUACAUAUUUCUAUACAUUGAUUAUUUUAUAUAUAAUCUAAUAUAAACUUGUUUGAUGGAAGUGAAAUGAUCACUGUGUGUGUAAAACAAAUGUUCUCUCUCUCAUAUCUGUCACAGCUUAGUUCAGUUUGAGAUUAGAGCUUAAACUUAAACUCCUGUCCGAGUAGAUCACCGUAAUUCAUGGUAGUUAUUGAAUACUAUACUUUAAGAUGGGGCACUGAUGGGAACAACAAUAUUUUCCUUUCGUUUGAGGAUACAUGAAAUGUAAAUGAUUCAGACACUUUAAAGACUUAACUACACUUAGCAAGCAUGUUAUCUUCUCUCAGAGUUCUGGAUUAAGCUGAACUGCAAUAAAGCAAACUGCAUUUAAUCAAACCUGGUGUUUCAAAUGCUCUAUACUGAAUGGCAAUGGAUCUCCAGUCUACGAUGUUAACAUACACAGCAGUAUACAGGGGCAAAAUUCAGUGAGCUCUAUGGUCUGCUCACUGUUAUUAUGUCUUUGAGACACAGCUUUAAGGAACCAUAAAACAGCUGUGUGUGUUUACCCUGUCAGGCACAAUAAGAGCCCUUGUCCGCUGGAGCAGAAUACAUCCAGUGGCUACUUAUUUGCUUUAACUGGACUGCCUCUGUUGUUAUGGUAACACAUCCGGUGUGCCUGUUGACAUACAAGAAGAAGAACUAAAUGGGCUAAGUGUAUUUAACUCUUUAGUGGCAUCACAAGGACAAAACCUAAAGUGAAGUUUUAAUACCUUUUUUGGGAAAAAAGUUUUGAUCAGACUGAUCAGAUCUUUUUUUUUAUUUUUGGCUCAUUUACAACAUAACGUGAUUUGAAGCUGCACACAAAUACUAUUUUUGCGAUUUAUUUUUAAUAUGUUGCUGUUUCAUUAGUUCACUCAAAGGGCGUUUUCACGCUGGCACUCGGUCCAUGGAACCGAUCUCUGACCCACUGCAGGAGAACUCGGACACACACAGCACCAUGUGUGAAAGCAAUCGUCUCCUGGGGCCAGGCAAUGAGUAAAGUGAUUGGCUGAACUUCUUACAUUACUUUCUGGUCCAAGAGUGUAAAAAAAAAAAGAAAAGAAGGGAAGUUAUGAAGCAAUGUUGAAAUGGCAUAAAGUAUAUGCAACAGGUGUCACAGGAAAGGGUGAUGCUAGACAUGUGGGCUGCUCUAAGGAAAGCUUAUAUUAGGGGCCUUCCACCCCACCCUACUCCGCCAG